rnacentral:rRNA from 1 species
AUUGAACGCUGGCGGCAGGCCUAACACAUGCAAGUCGAACGAGUGGCGGACGGGUGAGUAAUGUCUGGGCAACUGCCUGAUGGAGGGGGAUAACUACUGGAAACGGUAGCUAAUACCGCAUACCAUCGGAUGUGCCCAGAUGGGAUUAGCUAGUAGGUGGGGUAAAGGCUCACCUGGGCGACAAUCCCUAGCUGGUCUGAGAGGAUGACCAGCCACACUGGAACUGAGACACGGUCCAGACUCCGACGGGAGGCGGCAGGGGGGAACAUUGGACAAGGGGCACAAGCCGGAUGCAGCCAUGCCGCGUGUAUGAAGAAGGCCUGCGGUUUUUAAAGUACUUUCAGCGGGGAGGCGUUACCCGCAGAAGAAGCACCGGCUAACUCCGUGCCAGCAGCCGCGGUAAUUC